rnacentral:rRNA from 1 species
GACGAACGCUGGCGGCGUGCCUAACACAUGCAAGUCGUACGGGACCGGGGCGAACUCCGGUUCAGUGGCAGACGGGUGCGUAACACGUGAGGAACUUGUCCGGUGGGCGGGGGAGUAGCCGGCCCAACGGCCGGGUAAUACCGCAUACGCUCGUUCGGGGGCGAUCCCUGGGCGAGGAAAGCAGCCGCAAGGUUGCGCCGACGGAGGGCCUCGCGACCUAUCAGCUUGUUGGCGGGGUAACGGCCCACCAAGGCGACGACGGGUAGCUGGUCUGAGAGGAUGAUCAGCCACAUUGGGGACUGAGACACGGCCCAGACUCCUACGGGAGGCAGCAGGUGGGGAAUAUUGCGCAAUGGCCGCAAGGCUGACGCAGCGACGCCGCGUGUGGGAGUGACGGUC